GCUUUGCCUGUUUUAAAGCAGAAACAAGAACAGUAAGCGAGGUGUCAUUCUGAUUUUAAUGUUAGUGGGCUGGGAUUUAUUCUACUGACUCUCACAGAUUACUUGAAAAGAUAUUCAGCUUGAAAGGUAAUAUUUUUUCCUCACAUCUUGGUAUCUUGACAUAUUCUAAGCUCAUACAGCAUUACAACUCUUGGUAUGUUGCAGGCUCAUGAUAUAUUACGAGAACACUAAUGGUAAUACCUACUACCGAGGCGCAUAUGCAAGUAGAAACUCUUGCCUUGCCUGCGCAGAUGGAAGAAGUUAUAAGUGCAGAGACAACCACAGGCGUCUUGAUUCUUGCUAUUGCUUUCAGAAAUAGGCAGUCACCAAUUCGGACAAUUUUCAUAUUUGGAAUAUGAGCACCCCGAUCCAGAUAUCCAUGGCGAUCAAUAUGAACUCAAAAGGUCGAGAAGUUGUCCAGAUGAUCAGUUGCAGCCAGAGAUGAAAAUAUCAAUUAGGCAGGAUGAUGUUGCAAUGGGGCACCAUAAUUUCAAGAUAUCGAGUUCCAUAUCCUGCUACAAAUAUUCAAGAUGUAGAGCCCAGACCGUAUCAAAUGAUGGAAAGGAAGUUGCAGCUAAGCUAUGGCCGAUUCAUCUAGAGCAAUAUUUUGAUUUCUUCUGGGCCGAAUGACAGGAAUUUGCCAUCUCAGUUCAAUAACCUGUACACUUGAUCAUCGUAUUCUGUUUCUCUCUAAAUUCCAGGCCAUUCUAGCUGAUCCUGGCUUAGAAUGUGUUCGCUAGCAUUACCAUAUACUUUUUGAAUCAGGAUGGUAAUCCCGUAAUUUUGAUGCAGUUCACGUCUUUGUAAAUGUUCUUUAAUUCUUAUGAAAAGUUCGUAAUUCCGAACAUUUCUAACUCUAAUAUAUAUUAUUUUAUCUCCUUGGUUUCUUCUCAAA